rnacentral:sRNA from 1 species
CUUUGCACCUAACAUGCAGGUGAGGCAGAGAGGAGCAGCUGCUUUGAACAGAGAGCUCCAACUUCAGAUUUAAUCUCAGUGUGCUGAUUCUGUUUCUUGUGUUCAGGAGACUCCUGGAUACAGAGGAUGAGCUCAGUGACAUUCAGUCAGAUGCUGUGCCUUCUGAGGUCCGAGACUGGCUGGCCUCCACCUUCACGCGGCAGAUGGGGAUGAUGCUCAGGAGGAGCGACGAGAAGCCCCGGUUCAAGAGCAUCGUUCACGCAGUGCAGGCUGGGAUAUUUGUGGAGAGAAUGUAUAGACGGACAUCAAACAUGGUUGGACUGAGCUAUCCACCAGCUGUUAUUGAGGCAUUAAAGGAUGUGGACAAGUGGUCCUUUGACGUCUUUUCCCUCAAUGAGGCCAGUGGGGAUCAUGCACUGAAAUUUAUUUUCUAUGAACUACUCACACGCUAUGAUCUGAUCAGCCGUUUCAAGAUCCCCAUUUCUGCACUUGUCUCAUUUGUGGAGGCCCUGGAAGUGGGAUACAGCAAGCACAAAAAU